GACGAACGCUGGCGGCGUGCUCAACACAUGCAAGUCGAACGAAGAGCGAUGGAAGCUUGCUUCUAUCAAUCUUAGUGGCGAACGGGUGAGUAACGCGUAAUCAACCUGCCCUUCAGAGGGGGACAACAGUUGGAAACGACUGCUAAUACCGCAUACGAUCUAAUCUCGGCAUUGAGGAUAGAUGAAAGGUGGCCUCUACAUGUAAGCUAUCACUGAAGGAGGGGAUUGCGUCUGAUUAGCUAGUUGGAGGGGUAACGGCCCACCAAGGCGAUGAUCAGUAGCCGGUCUGAGAGGACGAACGGCCACAUUGGGACUGAGACACGGCCCAGACUCCUACGGGAGGCAGCAGUGGGGCAUCUUCCGCAAUGGACGAAAGUCUGACGGAGCAACGCCGCGUGAGUGAUGACGGCCUUCGGGUUGUAAAGCUCUGUUAAUCGGGACGAAAGGCCUUCUUGCGAAUAGUGAGAAGGAUUGACGGUACCGGAAUAGAAAGCCACGGCUAACUACGUG
rnacentral:rRNA from 1 species